UGUACUUCCCAGACGUGUACUGAGCACCUACUGUGUUCCCAGACCUGUGUGCCUGUGGGACCUCCUCGGCGUGAGGUAUAAGGGCCCCGGAAAGCAAGAAGGUUCUCCUGGGGCGAUGUCAGGAAUCAUCCUCCGGACUGUCAGGCGCUGGUGGACUCCACCUUCCCAGACACAAUUUCCUCUUCAUCUGGUAACCAACCCCUCUUUGCUUUCCUUUAGGGAAAACUCCUGCCUGCUCCGAGUGAGCGUAGCAGCUUUUCUUGUUGGUUUUACAGCCCCACCAUCUCCAGGACCAUCAUAUGAGCUGGCUGAGGUCACAUGAUCCAAGGCCAGCCAAUGAGAGAACAGCAUUUCCCCACCCACAGAAAUCAGCACAGAGACAAGCAUGUGACUCGAGUCCAAAAAGUCAAAGUCCUGCCCAAGAUGUUGCUAGAACAGAGAAGACAGUAUGACCCUGAUCUUCCAAGUUGAGAGUUCCAAAGAGUCCCUAAGACUAGCGCUCCUGGGCCAUCUUUACCUGAGAGUGAAACCAACACAAGUAAAAUCAGACUGAAAAAGAUGAUGCCCAGUGAGAUCUUUCGAGCUCCUGGAUCCAGCUGUGCCUGAAGGCCACUGCACCCUACACUUUCUCGUUAAGUCAACCAGCAAACUCCCUUCUUUUCUGAAAUGAGCUUGGGUUGGGGUUCUGUCGUCUGCAAUCAAAAAGAAUCCUGAGCAAUGCAAUUGAAAUGGGGUUCUCUAGACUUUUAUAGGGGAGAAAACUGACAGGAGGGUACUAGUAAGAUAAAGCCUUCCUGGACCUUAAAAGUGGGAAGGGGGGGGUCUCAAGUUUGGGCAGGUACAUAUGUGGACCCACCUUGUCCCUGGCUGCUCUCUAAAGUGCCCUCAGAGGCUGGGCUUCCACCCACUGGAAGCCUCCUUCUGAGCACUAGGCACUGCGGCAACUGUGUGGACGGCAGCCUUGUUCUCUUUCUUUCCUCCGCUGCCGCCCCUCCCCCAUCGUAAGCUCUGCAGACAGAAAGCCGUGCCGUGGAGCGGGCUCAGACCGAGCCCCCCAGCGCUCUCCCUCCAAUACACGCGUUCCACGCCUCCCUGAGGGUCAGCCCCGUGGAGCCCCGGCAUGGAGGGCCCGCAGCGUGUGCCGCAGAGAAACGUCCUGCCAACAGCGCUGUCACCUUGAGCCAGACCCCAUGCGAGAUGUUGAGGCUUCGGAACUUUCCGGAACUCUCAGGGCACUCUCUAAAACCUGGAAAAGGCAGCGUGGCCUGACUUACGAAGCAGAGAGACGCCGAGGCAAGAAGCUCCGCCCCAGUGAACAAACCACCAACAGAGCAGCGCGCUGGACGGGCGCAGCGCGCUGGACGGGCGCGGGCUCUGAGCGGGGCAGGCCUCUGGGAGGAAAGGGCUUCAGCAAAGCGGGGGCCCCGGGGCCUGAGCAGCCUGGAGGGAGAGCAGGGGGCUCUGGGUCCCCUCAGCCCCCUCUUCCCCCUAGCCCAGCUGAGCCGUUUUUUAAAGAAUCUUUGCAAAGAACUAGAAAGGACAGUUACCCAACAAUUCAGCACUGCAACUAAUAGCGGCAUGAAAGCAAUUAUUUCAAGCCAUAGGCGCCUAGUCCCAAGAAUUCCCACCAAAGUGGAGACAGCCUGAAGCAGCCUGUGAGCCCCUUGGGUGGAGAAGACGGUGAGUCCUCCAGGGGACCUCGUCAGGUUUGCGGGCCCCGGCCGUGUGCCUCUGGGGACAUCCGGAGGGACCGCAAGUGAGCAGAGCCCAUCUGUGUGGGCAAACGGCGCGGGUGCCCCUCAGGGCCUGCCUGCCGGUUGGGGACCGCGGACCGUGGGCCCGGCUGACGGGGAUGGAGCUGCCGGACGCCUGCGCCCCAGGGAGCCCAGGAGAAGGGACCAGGCGUUUCUGCAGUGCUUUCUGACUCUCCACCGGGACCUCACGAGGAUCUCCGUGCACGUGGGGCAGGCGGUCCCGUGCGCGGAGAAACGAGCUCUCCGCCCCCCUCUCUGCAGCUCCUCCGUCGGCACUGAUUAGAUGGGCGGCUGUUGCCCACCCUAAUUCUGUGGCUCCCAUGGACAGAUGGCCACACGCGGACAGGAAACAGCACACGACCGCAGGCCCGGGGCGGGCUGACCAAAGACAGCGGAUCAGCGGAGUUGGCGUGUGACAAAGACCCCGGGCCACAUUCCCAUGGAGAUGCUGGUGGGAGUCUGGCUUUGAAUGUGCCGAAGCCGGGGUGUCAAGGCCCCGGGAGGAAACGCCCCACCAGACCAGGGAUGUACCUGGAGUUUGGGAGGGGCCGGGGGCUUGCAGGACGGGCUUGAGUCUGGUGGGUACCGAGGACGCUGCUGCCUUCUCUCUGGUUUCCAGGCUGGCCCCAUGACUAAAUUCUCUGAGUCAUUUCUGCAGUGUUUAUGGAAAUAUAAUUUUGCCCGGAGACACAUGUGUAACUGAGAAUCUUUUAAUGUCUGUUUACAGUCGCCAUUCUUGCUCGAGUGAUUACAAGCAUCGUGGGAGUUGAUCGCAGCGGGGGUGGUCUCCGUCGGCACGGAGCCCUGGGUGCCUGUCUCUGGGAUUCGGGUGCCGCUUCACUUGGGAUAGUCCUCUGGGUGCAGAGCAGAUAGUGACCUCGGAGUUCUGGAGGCCAGAAGUCUGAGAUCAAAGGGUGAGCAGGGCCGUGGUCCUUCUGAAGGCUCUAGGGGAGGAUCCUUCCUUGUUUCUUCCAGCUUCUGGCGGUUACCGGUAAUCCUUGUCAUCCCUUGGCCUGUGGCCGCAUCACCCAUCUCUCCCUCUGUCAUCACAUGGCUUUCUCCCUGUGUCGCUGUGUCUUCUUCUUGUAAGCGCACCAGUCAUUGGACUUAGGGCCUGCCAGAAUCCAUCGUGACCUCAUCUUAAGUUGAUUAUACCUGAGAAGAUCCUAUUCCCAAAUAAGGCCACGUUGUGAUAUUCCGGGUGGACGUGAAAUUUCGGGGAAACCUAUGCGACCCACUACCCCAUCCUACAAUCCCACAUAAGGGAUAAGGAAUCUGAUCUAAACUGUGAGAUUCAUCAGGUGAGUUAGUGUCGGAGCCUGGACCAGAGCUGUGUUCACGUUCUCACCUAACAUUCUUUCCAGCAUUCCAAUAAACAUUGAUUGCUAGGAGCUCCACGUUAAUCACGCCACGCCUUCAAUGCCGCCCACCGCCUGCAGAAAGUACUGCGGACCCCGCUUCCAUCCUGCUGGGUAUGGUCCAGAUACGUCCCACUUCUCCAGGGAUUGACAAGGAGCAAUUUCCAGAUACAUUGUUAAGUGGAUAAAGCAGGGUACAGUGUUAGCGUGCUGUCUCCUGUGUAAUAAAGAGUAAAA